AUUGAACGCUGGCGGCAUGCCUUACACAUGCAAGUCGAACGGCAGCACGGGAGCAAUCCUGGUGGCGAGUGGCGAACGGGUGAGUAAAGUAUCGGAACGUGCCCAGUCGUGGGGGAUAACGUAGCGAAAGUUAAGCUACUACCGCAUACGACCUAUGGAUGAAAGCGGGGGAUCGCAAGACCUCGCGCGAUUGGAGCGGCCGAUAGCAGAUUAGGUAGUUGGGGGGGUAAAGGCUCACCACGCCGACGAACUGUAGCUGGUCUGAGAGGACAACCAGCCCCACUGGGACUGCGAGACGGCCGAGACUCCUACCGGAGGCAGCAGUGGGGAAUUUUGGCCAAUGGGCGAAAGCCUGAUCCAGCCAUGCCGCGUGCAGGAUGAAGGCCUUCGGGUUGUAAACUGCUUUUGUACGGAACGAAAAGGUUUGGCCUAAUAAGCUGAGCUCAUGACGGUACCGUAAGAAUAAGCACCGGCUAACUACGUGCCAGCCGCCGCGGUAA
rnacentral:rRNA from 1 species